rnacentral:rRNA from 1 species
AUUGAACGCUGGCGGCAUGCCUUACACAUGCAAGUCGAACGGCAGCACGGGUGCUUGCACCUGGUGGCGAGUGGCGAACGGGUGAGUAAUACAUCGGAACGUACCUUAUCGUGGGGGAUAACGCAGCGAAAGCUGUGCUAAUACCGCAUACGCCCUGAGGGGGAAAGCGGGGGAUCGCAAGACCUCGCGCGAUUAGAGCGGCCGAUGCCUGAUUAGCUUGUUGGUGGGGUAAAAGCCCACCAAGGCGACGAUCAGUAGCUGGUCUGAGAGGACGAGCAGCAACACUGGGACUGAGAUACGGCCCAGACUCCUACGGUAGGCAGCAGUGGGGAAUUUUGGACAAUAGGUGCAACCCUGAUCCAGCAAUGCCGCGUGAGUGAAGAAGGCCUUCUUGUUGUAAAGCUCUUUUGUCAGGGAAGAAACACCGGCUCUAACACAGUCCGGGAAUGACGGUACCGGAAGAAUAAGCACCGGCUAACUACGUGCCAGCAGCCGCGGUAA